rnacentral:misc_RNA from 1 species
AAGUCGUAACAAGGUUUCCGUAGGUGAACCUGCGGAAGGAUCAUUAUGAAUUGAAAUAUUAUUGACAUGUUGAACCCGAUAACCGAUCAUACAAUGAUACAAUUACGAAUAUUGAAAUCAAUAAUAAAAUACACUUUUAACAAUGGAUCUCUAGGCUCUU